GCCGUAAAAGCUAAGCUAAUUACACAUGAAAUGCUUCUCAAAUGAAAUGGAAAUGACUCCACAUGGAGCACAUGGGCACAUGGCCGGCCAUGUGAAGCAAAUGUUCUAGAAAGUGCACAAAAUCUAGGGUAAAUCAUGUGUAAGACAAGUUUAUGCUUUCUAACACUACACUAAUUACUAAGGCACCCCUAAUGGGCCUCCAUGUAACAUAUACAAGGCCUUCUCAUCCCAAACCGUAGCUUGACCCUUGUGAACGUGAAUGUGCUUGGUCCUAGACGGCCUAGGCUUCCUCCUAGACGCUCCUUAUGUAGCCGCUCCUCAUCAUGGGCUAGACGCUCUCCUUUUGAAGUCUAGACGCUCCUCAUCAUGGGCUAAACGCUCCUCACAUGGUUCUAGACUGUCUAGACUUGGAGCUUGGCUUUUCAUAGUGUGGUGCGCUUGGCCCUCCUCCAUCAUCCCCUCCCACUUGAAAAGGAUUUGUCCUCAAAUCCAAUGCUUUUACUUCUUAGGGGGAUGGUUGUGGCUGGAUGGUGUCCAUCAUCUCCUUCUUGAGAAGAUCUAUCCUCUGAUUCGCAGACUUGAUCUCGGAUAGCAGCCUCUUGCUUCAUCAAGGUGUGUCCUCCCGGAUCAAAUGUCAAACUAUGAGAAUCUUGAAACAAAGCAAACGAGAU
rnacentral:lncRNA from 1 species